UUGAUUUCACCUACUUGGCUUAAAAACCUGUUGGUUUCAGACCUUUUAUUCUGUAAUAAGGCAAUCUAAAUUAUAUAUAUAUGCUGAUUAUUAAAAAAAAAAAAGAGAACACUGACACUAAUAAUGAUACAACCGCCUACAAGGAUGUUACAUUUUCAAUUUGAAAUACUCAAACACUAGUACUAGAUUCCAGAAAUGGAUAGUCGACGUAACCGUGAACAGGAUCAGAUGUGUAGAAAGCUUCUCUGUCAUACUUGUUGAGAGGUGCAUUGAGCCCAAAUCUCCUUGGUAAAUCAGGGUUGGCUAAGAACCACCUACCAUAAGCAACAAGAUCUGCAUAAUUCUCAGCAAUCGCUUUAUUCCCAUCUUCUCUUGUAUAACCCCCAGCAGCUAUGAAAGUACCCUUGAAAGCCUUUCUCAUUGGCAGAAGACUGUGAGGAGUUUCAAACUUUUCUCCUACCAGCUUCAUCCUUGGCUCAAUCAUAUGACAGUAGAGAAUUCCAUACUUGUUUAAUGAUUCUGCCAUAUAAACACCAAGGGCUUCUGGAUUCGAGUCACCUGACUCCAUGUAAGCGGCAAAAGGAGAAAGCCUCAUUCCUACUCUGUCAGCUCCAAUUUCAUUAACAACUGCUUCCACUAUCUCUAGUGGGAAACGACACCGAUUUUCAAGAGUACCUCCAUAUCUGUCUGUCCGGUCAUUUACAUGAUCUUUCAUGAACUGAUCAAUUAGGUAGCCAUGCGCCCCAUGGAUCUCAACCCCGUCAAAACCUGCAUUAUAUAUAAAGAGAUUUAAUGGAAUAUUCAAUGAGGGUUUGCACUUUUUGUUGCUGGGCUGUGUUCUCUUUUCUUCUUUGUACUAGAAGGUUACCUUAAGCUCUUAUUUUUUCAUCAUUAUUUAUUAUUAUUUAGAUAAGUUUGUUAGGUUAACUGGACCUUAACCACUCUAUCCAGAAAUUAACUCGAGAAAAAGAAACUACUAGACUUAAACCUCCGACCAAAAUAUUGCAUUGUUAUAUAUAAAAUAUAGAUAUAUCAACCAUAUGAUCUAUGGAUACGUUACAAUAAUGCAAUGAAUUAUAAUAGGGAAUAAUCAAGGUAUUCUUUCUCCCCUGAAGAAGUCUGAACUCUUCACUCUAGUCAAUGCCAGCCAGGCAGUUUUUGAAGGUAAUUGUAGCUGCUUGAGAAGUUUGUACCAUAGUCAUAGUGUGGUGUUAGAGUUACUUCAAUGCGUUGUGAUUGUAUGUUUUGUGCUUCAUUAAAAAAGGGAACUAGAUUAAAUCUUCUGCGGGAACUAGAUUAAAUCUUCUGUACGACGGUCAUGUAAACAGUCUCUUACAGCUAAAUCUUUCUCUGUAACCAAUGUAUUUUGAUUAUGCAUCCUACAUAACCAUGUCAGAUCACAUAUCAUAGGAUAAUCCUUGUCAGAACACAAGCUCAAAACAAAGGCAAACCAGGUUGCACAUCCAAAUAAUCUAAGAAUGUAGGCGUAAUGGAACAAAAAAGUACAAACUCAUCAUUUGUAAUGCAGCAUGUUAUUAUAUAGUAUAUCCAAAGGACAUCACUCUUCAGUCAUCACUAUAGUAUAUAUGCCUGAUUCAUCAACUGACAGUUAACUUUCUUGCUGACUAUAAUUCCAGGAAAUGUUUUCAAGAAAGAUUGGUACAUAUGCGUAUAAAUGCGUGCAUUUAAAUGUAUGUGAUUAAGCAUUGGAGGAAGAGGGUGUUACCAGCUUCAAUAGCAUUCCUAGAAGCAAUUCUGAAAUCAUUAACAACAUCGGGAAUUUCCUCAGUUUUCAACCGCCGAGGAGGUGAGAAAUCUUCUGCUACCAUACCAUUGGAUUGAAUUUGAGGUGUCAACCCCUUGUCCGUGCUAGAGAUUGGAGCUUGUCCAUUAGGCUGAAAACCUGUAAAUAAGUACAAUGCAAAUAUGAGAAAUACGCAAGGAAAGAAGAAUGGUUGAAGAUGUUUACAUUUUGACCAACUCAAAAGGCUUACAACUAAUAUUAUAAUGAAGAGCAUACCAUAACUUGAAACCCUUCCACAGUGAAUAAUUUGGCAAAAGAAGAUACCACCCUUGGCAUGGACAGCAUCUACUAUGGGUUUCCAAGCUUCCACAUGCUCUUUUGUCCAUAUACCAGGUGUAUCAGUAUACCUACAACAUGGAUAACAUAUUAGCAUCAUAUAUACGUUAAUAAAAAAACUACAUACUUAUAUAGCAAUUCAAUUACAGAAAUAAGAAAUUAAUUAUAUUGUAGCCUACUGAAAUACAGUAAAAAGUUUACCCUUGGGAAGUGUCAGAAACCCCUGAGGCUUCAGUAAUUAGAAGUCCUCCUUUGGUAGUUCUUUGUGAGUAAUAUAAAAUGGCGUGCGGUUGAGGAACAUGACCGUAAGAUCUCUGCCUAGCCAUUGGUGCCAAAACUACUCUACAAAAACACAAUGAACAAUUAAAGAUUUCUUGGAUACACAUACAGUAUUCCUGAAUUUCCAAUCACCAUAAUAAUCUACCUAAACCACAGAGUUCAAUAGUUCAUGAUUAAACAACAUUGAGGUCAUCUAAGCUACAAAAUCAAAUAAGAAAUGUAUAUUGAAAAACAAACCUACCUGUGUGAAAGAUGGAAAUUGCCCAUUUUGUAAGGAGUGAGAAGAGGGAUCACGUUUUCAUCGUUACUACCCAUCGUUGCAAAUUCUCUCUUUUGCUUGUUUGUUUAGAUUAAGCUUGUAACCUUGAAUGAACAACUUGUUCACCAGGUAUUUGAUUUUAUAGCUAAAUGAGAGAAUUAUUUUUUGAACAGUGCAUUUAAAGGUGCGUGUUAGAGUUUUUCUUUUCUGUUUGCAGGAUAAACUUUUGUGCUAAAUCAACCGACUUCAUCGUGAGCAAGAAACUUCUCGACCACUAACCAACUCCCGCGGGACUAAAGUUUAAGCCAUGGACGUAGAUCACACAUGAACAGCGUUUUCAUUCCAAUACAACGUCACGACUUACAUAAACUUUUUUUUUUUUUCAAAGAACUUUCCCAUUUUAUUGGAAAGAUACUUAAACAAUAAUCUGGUCCCGUGACAGUUGUACAGCAUAUAACCUACUUAACCAACUCCCGCGGGACUAAAGUUUAAGCCAUGGACGUAGAUCACACAUGAACAGCGUUUUCAUUCCAAUACAACGUCACGACUUACGUAAACUUUUUUUUUUUUUUCAAAGAACUUUCCCAUUUUAUUGGAAAGAUACUUAAACAGUAAUCUGGUCCCGUGACAGUUGUACAGCAUAUAACCUACUUAUCCCACAUCACAACACGUCAACACCCCAAGCUACUACUAGUACCGACAAAGGCAACACUACAGGUCUCGUAUCAUACACUAACUGAUUUCUCUUCAGUGCUGCCCCUGUUCGGGGUUAUAUCCAGCCAAGACCAGGCCUGGCAGAUUGCCCUUUUGCAGAAGUCUCGAACAUUGACAGAGCCCAUAUUGAACGGUAUGUCAUCCCUGUUCUUCCAUACCAACCAUAGCCUUCAGUAAGGUAGAAUCUGCCAGAUAGCAAGAGCAGCUCCUCUGGUGCAGGUCAGACCACUGCAUAAGAAAAUCCCUGACAGUCCCAUGUCUUUGUGACAAGAAAUUGUUCAAGUGUUCAUGAUAAUUGACAAGAAAUUGAGUCCCAAAUGUUUGAUUCGUGUUAAUAUGAUGUAAUCUGAGGCUCAUAAGCUAAGAUUCACAAUUUUGAAGUUAUAAUAAUUAAAUUAUUUAACUCAUAAUUUCUUUAGUUUUCUAGACAAUAUUUGAUAAGAGCAGGUUUAAUUGAUUUUUUGUAUUGUUUUGAAAGUAAUUUGUUGGCAGGUUUAGAAUUUACUUUUAUUGGCUCAUCACGCCCGUAAAAUAAGAUUCAGAAACAAAGCUUAUGAGCUAAUCAGUAUAAACCACAAAUUGAAUCAAUAUAAGCUUGGUACGCAGACUUGCCAAUGGCCUAUUUUAUUGGGCACAUUAUUUAGUUGCCCUGAGCUCCUGAUGUGCUAGUGGAGCAAUGGCCAGGCUAUGUACUAUUACAAUAGGUGUUGAUACUUAACACUACUGAUCUGUUACAUUCUAAUUGGAUAUUUGGAUACCGCAGUACUAGAUUCCAGAAAUGGAUAGUCAACAUAACCGACAACAGGAUCAGAUACGUAGAAAGUCUCUCUGUUGUAUUUGUUAAGAGGUGCGUCAAGUUCAAAUCUUUUGGGCAAAUCAGGGUUGGCUAAGAACCACCUACCGUAAGCAACAAGAUCGGCAUAAUCAUCAGCAAUUGCUUUAUUCCCAUCUUCUCUAGUAUAACCCCCAACGACUAUGAAGGUACCCUUGAAAGCCUUUCUCAUUGG
rnacentral:lncRNA from 1 species